GGAGAUCGAGGAAGAUGGAGGCGGCAGCCUUCCAGCCGUGAGUUCGCCGGAGAUGAGUCGCAGCGGCCGGAAGAGAGAGAGAGAGAGAUCGCCGCUGCUGAGUGUGUUCCCGGUGACUGGCGUGUGUGUGUGCGUGCGUCUGUGAGUGUGAGAGUGACGAGAUGGGGGGAUGGCGCAGCUAGGGAGGAAGGAGAAGAAGGGUGGAGUGUUGGGCUUGGGUUGGGCUUAGAGGUUUGGGCUUGAGGGACUUGGGCCGAGUAUUGGGCCUAUUUUUAAAUAGUUUUGGGCUGCGAUUUUUUUAAAAGCUUGGGCCGAUUUUUUUUAAUUUUAUUUAGCUGGACCCGAUUCAUUUUAUUCAGUUUGGGCCAUUCCUAUUUUAUUGAGUUGGGCCUCAUCUUUUAAAUUUAUAUGGACUAUUAUUUAUUUAAGCAUGGGCUCUAUUUCAUCUAUAUAAAUGGCUUCCCUAUUUUAUUUAAUUAGACUAUUAAUUAGUUUGAUUAAUU
rnacentral:lncRNA from 1 species